UGGGGAAUAUUGCACAAUGGGGGAAACCCUGAUGCAGCGACGCCGCGUGAGCGAAGAAGGUUUUCGAAUCGUAAAGCUCUGUCCUAUGAGAAGAUAAUGACGGUAUCAUAGGAGGAAGCUCCGGCUAAAUACGUGCCAGCAGCCGCGGUAAUACGUAUGGGGCGAGCGUUGUCCGGAAUUAUUGGGCGUAAAGGGUACGUAGGCGGUCUAUUAAGUCAGGUGUGAAAGCGUGAGGCUUAACCUCAUUAAGCACUUGAAACUGAUAGACUUGAGUGAAGGAGAGGAAAGUGGAAUUCCUAGUGUAGCGGUGAAAUGCGUAGAUAUUAGGAGGAAUACCGGUGGCGAAGGCGACUUUCUGGACUUUUACUGACGCUCAGGUACGAAAGCGUGGGGAGCAAACAGG
rnacentral:rRNA from 1 species